UGGGGAAUAUUGGAAAAUGGGCGAAAGCCUGAUCCAGCCAUGCCGCGUGUGUGAAGAAGGUCUUCGGAUUGUAAAGCACUUUAAGUUGGGAGGAAGGGCAUUAACCUAAUACGUUAGUGUUUUGACGUUACCGACAGAAUAUGCACCGGCUAACUCUGUGCCAGCAGCCGCGGUAAUACAGAGGGUGCAAGCGUUAAUCGGAAUUACUGGGCGUAAAGCGCGCGUAGGUGGUUUGUUAAGUUGGAUGUGAAAUCCCCGGGCUCAACCUGGGAACUGCAUUCAAAACUGACUGACUAGAGUAUGGUAGAGGGUGGUGGAAUUUCCUGUGUAGCGGUGAAAUGCGUAGAUAUAGGAAGGAACACCAGUGGCGAAGGCGACCACCUGGACUAAUACUGACACUGAGGUGCGAAAGCGUGGGGAGCAAACA
rnacentral:rRNA from 1 species